CAUGUAACUCUUGCAGUUAUCUUUUCAAUCAGUGGUGAGUAGUGAUGUAUAGCAAGUUUUUUAGAGCUGAGAGGAAUCCCCAGAUACUUAAAAGGAAGCUGACCCUCAAUGAACCCCCAACUUCUUCAUGAUUUCAUCUCGAACAGAUUGUUGUACACCAGCCAAAUAAGCAGCACUCUUGUUGAUGUUUGCUUUCAAGCCAGAAGCUUCAGAAAACUUGUGGAAGGCCUCUUGUAAAAUCUAAAUAGAAAUCCUAUCAGCUCGGCAAAACAUGAGAAGAUCAUCAGCAAAACAAAUAUGCACACAGUUAAGCUUGAAACUUGUGGAAGGCCUCUUGUAAAAUCUGAAUAGAAAUCCUAUCAGCUCGGAAAAACAUCAGAAGAUCAUCAGCAAAACAAAUAUGCACACAGUUAAGCUUUCUACACUUAGGAUGGAAAUUGAAAUCUCCAUUCAUGUGUAACUGGUGCAGUAUCAUUUAAGUACUCCAUUGCAAGAACAAAUAAAUAAGGAGACAUAGGAUCUCUCUGUCUAAUACCCCUCCUUGCAGUGAAAGGUUUAGUGAGGCCCUCAUUCAGCACCAAGGAGUAUGAGACAGAAGUUACACAUGCCAUUAUCCAAUUAAGGAAUUUUGUUGGGAAUCCAAUUUCAAUAAGGACCUGCUUAAGGAAGCCCCAUUCUAGAGUAUCAUAGGCCUUUCUUAAGUCCACCUUAAGGACACAUCUAGGGGAUACAACUUUCCUUGUAUAUCCCUUGAAAAUUUCAUGACUGAGCAGUAUAUUAUCAAUGAUUCUCCUUCCUUCAAUAAAUGCUGACUGGGCCUGGCCAACUAUACUGCCAAUAACAGUUUUCAUCCUUUUUGUAAUUAUCUUGGAAAUGAUUUUGUACACAGUUGUACAGCAGGCAAUAGGUCUAUAAUCUUUUACAGUUGUAGGAGUAUUGACUUUAGGCACAAGUGCAAUAGCUGUAGUAUUUAUCAUGUUAGGCAGAUUGCACGUAGUAAAGAAAUCCAUAGUAGCAGCAAUUAUGUAUUCUUGUACUAUCCCCCAGUUACUAGUGAAGAACUCCACUGGAAAACCAUCCACACCUGGUGCUUUAUCCCUUGGCAUCUCCUUGAUAGCUUCUGUGAUCUCCUCCACUAUAACUUCUUGGAUUAAUCUUCUUUGUUGUGAUACAAUAAGAUAAGGGCCUUCCUUCA
rnacentral:lncRNA from 1 species